AACGAACGCUGGCGGCAUGCCUAACACAUGCAAGUCGAACGAGACCUUCGGGUCUAGUGGCGCACGGGUGCGUAACGCGUGGGAACCUGCCCUUAGGUUCGGAAUAACUCCCCGAAAGGGGUGCUAAUACCGGAUAAUGUCUUCGGACCAAAGAUUUAUCGCCUUUGGAUGGGCCCGCGUUGGAUUAGCUAGUUGGUAGGGUAAAAGCCUACCAAGGCGACGAUCCAUAGCUGGUCUGAGAGGAUGAUCAGCCACACUGGGACUGAGACACGGCCCAGACUCCUACGGGAGGCAGCAGUGGGGAAUAUUGGACAAUGGGCGAAAGCCUGAUCCAGCAAUGACGCGUGAGUGAUGAAGGCCGUAGGGUUGUAAAGCUCUUUUACCCGGGAUGAUAAUGACAGUACCGGGAGAAUAAGCUCCGGCUAACUCCGUG
rnacentral:rRNA from 1 species